rnacentral:rRNA from 1 species
CGGCGGACGGGUGAGUAACGCGUGGGUAACCUUCCUUGUACUGGGGGACAACAGUUAGAAAUGACUGCUAAUACCGCAUAAGCGCACAGUAUCGCAUGAUACAGUGUGAAAAACUCCGGUGGUACAAGAUGGACCCGCGUCUGAUUAGCUAGUUGGUAAGGUAACGGCUUACCAAGGCGACGAUCAGUAGCCGACCUGAGAGGGUGACCGGCCACAUUGGGACUGAGACACGGCCCAA